rnacentral:misc_RNA from 1 species
CUGAAAACUAAUCAUCACAGUUUCUUGUAAGACUCCCAUCGAUUUCAACUCUUUCUUUUGAUGGGUUGAUCAAGAAUUCCACACUAUCAUAAGUGCAGAGAACUUCUUUAAUUUUUCCAAGAAAACCAAUCCGAUGGCGACGUACUUUCAUGGGAAUCCGGAAAUCCCAGCAGAAGGCCUCCAAACCCUCGUCCUCAUGAACCCUGCUUAUGUCCAAUACUCUGACACUCCUCCACCACCACCUUCCAACAACCUCCUCUUUCUCAACUCCGCCACCAACAACCUUUCUCCAUCACCUCACCUCUCUCACGCGCCACCCAACGCCCAGCAGUUUGUCGGCAUCCCUUUGGACCCUAACUCCCAUGACGGUUCCACCUUGCAUGGACUUGUUCCACGAAUUCAUUACAAUCUCUACAACCCAAUUGACCUUUCGUCGGCUGCGCGUGAAACUCCACGCGCUCAG